rnacentral:rRNA from 1 species
UUACGGGAGGCAGCAGUGGGGAAUCUUGCACAAUGGGGGAAACCCUGAUGCAGCGACGCCGCGUGAGCGAUGAAGCCCUUCGGGGUGUAAAGCUCUUUCGGCAGGAACGAUAAUGACGGUACCUGCAGAAGAAGCUGCGGCUAACUACGUGCCAGCAGCCGCGGUAAUACGUAGGCAGCAAGCGUUGUUCGGAAUUACUGGGCGUAAAGAGUGUGUAGGUGGUGUCGUAAGUUUGGUGUGAAAUCUCCCGGCUUAACUGGGAGGGUGCGCCGAAGACUGCGAUGCUUGAGUAUGGGAGAGGAAAGCGGAAUUCCUGGUGUAGCGGUGAAAUGCGUAGAUAUCAGGAGGAACACCUGCGGUGUAGACGGCUUUCUGGACCAUUACUGACACUGAGACACGAAAGCGUGGGUAGCAAACAGGAUUAGAUACCCCGGUAGG